UGUACAGUCAAUCUCAGUACCAGAAGGGAC
rnacentral:piRNA from 1 species